rnacentral:rRNA from 1 species
UAGGGAAUCUUCGGCAAUGGGGGCAACCCUGACCGAGCAACGCCGCGUGAGUGAAGAAGGUUUUCGGAUCGUAAAGCUCUGUUGUAAGAGAAGAACGUGUGUGAGAGUGGAAAGUUCACACAGUGACGGUAACUUACCAGAAAGGGACGGCUAACUACGUGCCAGCAGCCGCGGUAAUACGUAGGUCCCGAGCGUUGUCCGGAUUUAUUGGGCGUAAAGCGAGCGCAGGCGGUUUAAUAAGUCUGAAGUUAAAGGCAGUGGCUUAACCAUUGUUCGCUUUGGAAACUGUUAAACUUGAGUGCAGAAGGGGAGAGUGGAAUUCCAUGUGUAGCGGUGAAAUGCGUAGAUAUAUGGAGGAACACCGGUGGCGAAAGCGGCUCUCUGGUCUGUAACUGACGCUGAGGCUCGAAAGCGUGGGGAGCAAACAG